rnacentral:rRNA from 1 species
UACGAAGGGGGCUAGCGUUGUUCGGAUUUACUGGGCGUAAAGCGCACGUAGGCGGAUCGUUAAGUCGGGGGUGAAAUCCUGGAGCUCAACUCCAGAACUACCUUCGAUACUGGCGAUCUUGAGUCCGGAAGAGGUGAGUGGAACUCCUAGUGUAGAGGUGGAAUUCGUAGAUAUUAGGAAGAACACCAGUGGCGAAGGCGGCUCACUGGUCCGGUACUGACGCUGAGGUGCGAAAGCGUGGGGAGCAAACAGG